UACAGAGGCCCCAAGCGUUAGGCGGAAUCACUGGGCUUAAAGCGCGCGUAGGCGGCCCGGUAAGUCCGCUCUGAAAGUCCAGGGCUCAACCCUGGAAAGCGGGUGGAUACUGCCGGGCUAGAAUCCGGAAGAGGCGAGUGGAAUUCCUGGUGUAGCGGUGGAAUGCGCAGAUAUCAGGAGGAACACCAAUAGCGAAGGCAGCUCGCUGGGACGGUAUUGACGCUAAGGCGCGAAAGCGUGGGGAGCAAACAGG
rnacentral:rRNA from 1 species